rnacentral:misc_RNA from 1 species
AACGCACGAGACCUGCGGACCUGCGGAAGGAUCAUUAACACGUAUCCAAACGUAUCAACCACUCACUACUGCUUUACUGCUAGUAGUACGAACUUUCAACCCGUGCCUCGGUUUGUGUUUGAUUUGCAGGGCUUAGGUCCUGUAAAGAAGCAGCCCUCUGACUGGGAACGGUCUCGGUGGCUGGAUUCGAGACAGGUUAGUUAUGCUCACCUGUUUUCUGAUCGCACAGCUGAGGUGCCU